rnacentral:rRNA from 1 species
CCUACGGGUGGCAGCAGUGAGGAAUAUUGCUCAAUGGGCGAGAGCCUGAUCCAGCCACGUCGCGUGAGGGAGUAAUUCCCUAUGGGUUGUAAACCUCUUUUGUCGGGGAGCAAAAGCCGGACGUGUCCGGCUGUGAGCGUACCCGAAGAAAAAGCAUCGGCUAACUCCGUGCCAGCAGCCGCGGUAAUACGAGGGAUGCGAGCGUUAACCGGCUUUAUUGGGGUUAAAGGGUGCGCAGGCGGAUUUUUACGUCAGCGGGCAAAUCGUGGGGCUAAACCCCAUCCAGCCGUUGAAACUGGGGGGCUAGAGUGCGCGAGAGGUAUGCGGAAUGCGUGGUGUAGCGGUGAAAUGCAUAGAUAUCACGCAGAACCCCGAUGGCGAAGGCAGCAUACCGGUGAACAACUGACGUUCAGGCACGAAAGCGUGGGUAUCGAACAGGAUUAGAUACCCCUGUAGUC